AUUGAACGCUGGCGGCAGGCCUAACACAUGCAAGUCGAACGAGUGGCGGACGGGUGAGUAAUGUCUGGGAAACUGCCUGAUGGAGGGGGAUAACUACUGGAAACGGUCGCUAAUACCGCAUACCAUCAGAUGUGCCCAGAUGGGAUUAGCUUGUUGGUGGGGUACCGGCUCACCAAGGCGACGAUCCCUAGCUGGUCUGAGAGGAUAACCAUCCACCCUGGAACUGAGCCACGGUCCAGACUCCUACGGGAGGGAGCAGUGGGGAAUAUUGCACAAGGGGCGCAAGCCGUAUGCAGCCAUGCCGCGUGUAUGAAGAAGGCCUUCGGGUUGUAAAGUACUUUCAGCGGGGAGGCGUUACCCGCAGAAGAAGCACCGGCUAACUCCGUUCCAGCAGCCGCGGUAAUUC
rnacentral:rRNA from 1 species